AUGCUCACUUUGGCAACACAAAUACUAAAAUCGGAAUGAAACAGAGAAGAUUAGCGUGGUCCCCGCACAAGGGUGACGUGCAAGACUGUGAUGUAAUCAAUGUUUUU